GAGGGCAGGCAGACAAGGGCCCAUGAAAAAAUACAGGUGUCUGGACUGCCAGGGAGACCCUGGCCCCCAGUAUUGUGUCCUGGGGUCUUCCUCAGAGCGAGAAACCUCCCCCAGUGUCUUCAAGACUUUUCUCUCCCCACCAACCCCCUAUCUCUCCCUCCCUUGCCACCCAAAUGUUAGAAAAAUAGCUGUGAACAGAGAGCGCUUUUGUCUGCAAUGGCAGCAGGAUCUGGACAGUCCCCUCCCCUAGGUUCCCCCCUCCCCACCCCACACUCUGACAGCCUGUUCCGUGUUGCCCCCCCCCACCCAGCGCACAGUGCAGAAAAACGCCAAGUACAUCUGCCUGGCUAACAAGGACUGCCCUGUGGACAAGAGGCGGCGAAACCGCUGCCAGUUCUGCCGCUUCCAGAAGUGCCUGGCGGUGGGCAUGGUGAAGGAAGGUUUGUCCGAACAGACAGCCUGAAGGGGCGGCGGGGCCGGCUACCUUCAAAACCCAAGCAGCCCCCAGAUGCCUCCCCUGCCAAUCUCCUCACUUCCCUGGUCCGUGCACACCUGGACUCAGGGCCCAGCACUGCCAAACUGGACUACUCCAAGGUGAGGUCCCACCCCGCAUCUGCCUUGGGGAGGUCUAUGAGCACAUGCAGUGCCUUUGUGCGUGUUGGGAGAGCUACCUCCUCUGGAAGGACUAAAUGAGAAAGGAAGUUUAAAAAAGAAAGAAAGAAAAGUUACUCCCUCUAGUUUGACAGAUCAAAG
rnacentral:sRNA from 1 species